CUCCUACCAGCGGACAGAGAGCGUGCGUCGGAAAAUAUGUCACAUCAACCAACUGAGAAGCAGACAAAAAUAAACAGGGUCAAGACAUCCGCAAGAGACUGCAAGGAGACCAUCUUGCAGGGCCAGACGUUCCUGACUUCCCAUAUCAAGAGGCUCUAGAAAUGUUCUUCCAGAAGCCCAGAAAGAUACACUGCAGUGACAAAAGCUGCACACUUUGUGGAUAAUUGUCAAAAAAAGAAAUGUUCUGAUGUUUAGUUCAGUUGUUAUAUUGACUGCUGUCAUUAAAAGCAACACAUGAACACCAUGAA